rnacentral:rRNA from 1 species
GAUGAACGCUGGCGGCGUGCCUAAUACAUGCAAGUCGAGCGAAGCGGGGACGGGUGAGUAACACGUGGAUAACCUCCUAUAAGACGGGGAAAACAUCGGGAAAGCGGGGCUAAACCGGAAACUGAUAGAUGGAGCCUCGCUGCAUUAGCUAGUUGGUAAGGUAACGGCCUACCAAGGCAACGAUGCCUAGCCGACCUGAGAGGUUGAUCGGCCAAACGGGAACUGAGACACGGUCCAGACUCCUACUGGAGGCAGCAGUAGGGAAGAUUCCGCAAUGGGCGAAAGCCUGACGGAGCAACGCCGCGUGAAUGAUGAAGGCCUUCGGAUCGUAAAACACUUUUAUUAGGGAAUCGUUACCUAAUCAGAAAGCCACGGCUAACUACGUGCCAGCAGCCGCGGUAAUUC